rnacentral:rRNA from 1 species
ACGCUCGACACCUACGGGAGGCAGCAGUGGGGAAUAUUGCACAAUGGGGGAAACCCUGAUGCAGCGACGCCGCGUGGAGGAAGAAGGUCUUCGGAUUGUAAACUCCUGUUGUUGGGGAAAAAGAGGAUGGUACCCAACAAGGAAGUGACGGCUAACUACGCGCCAGCAGCCGAGGUAAUCUGAGCGGGCUGGCAAGGC